rnacentral:tRNA from 1 species
GGUUAUGACUCAGUGGUAGAGUGCUUGCCUAGCACGUGUGAGGCACUGGGUUCAAUCCUCAGCACCA